UGGUAAAUUCUAGUGAGGGUUAUUUUGUUAUAUGCAUUGAAAGGUUAUGUAAAUUUUUGUCUAUAGUACUAAAGAGGAUAACAAUUUACUCAUGCCAAGUAUUUCUUUAUUUAAAAUAAAGAUAAAUUUUGCACAAUUUUUUUAAAAGUGAAAAUUUAACAAAAUCUAUUAAUAGGGGGAAAAAAGUUAUAAUGGUGGUAAAACUCAUUUAUAAAGUAUGGGAAAUAACUCUUUCAAUGAAAGAAUUUGAAUAUUAAAGCAUUCCUUUGUAUGUCUUUCUACUAUGUUUAACUUUUUUAAUUGUCAGUUGUUGUUUCUUUGAUAGUUAUUAUUUAUCAAAAUCAUAACUUAAAAUUUUCUGAUCAGACACUAUCUGCUGUUUUGACAAUUGCAUAUUUCGUAUUUAAUACAAUCAAAAGAAUAUCAGUUAAUCUAAUUUCUGGAUACCACCAUUAUAAAAAGUAGGAUUGUGGCCUUGUUUGUACACUAUUUGAUUACAAGAAUUGCAGGUCAUCCUUUUGAGACAUAGAAAAAUGCUUUUUGAGUAAAAAGAGAAGAAAAAGAAGUAUCUGGACUUAUUUCAGAAAAAUGUUCUGCAUUUAUAAAUUUAUCCUUUACGGUACUUUAGGACAUCAAAACACACUUAAAUCCCACUUUAAAGAAAUCAUGGGAAUUAAGUAAUUUUUUUCAAUUUUCUUGUUUAUAAAAUGACAAUUCCAUAAUAUAUUGGAUGCUAUAAUUACUAACAAUAAGUCAUAAGUUACUAAUGAAUGCUGAAGAGUAUUUUUAAAAAGAUCAGAUUGGCAUCAGAACGUCAUUUUUUGUUAUUUUAACUACUGCAGCUUAUUUAAGAUAUUAGAUCACUGUUUACAUCCUUCUGUUAAUGACUGUUAAUACUUCUGCUAAUGACUGUUAAUACUUCUUUAAUGACUGUUAAUACUUCUAACUUCUGUGAAUACUUCUGUUAACAACUGUUAAUACUUCUGCUAACGACUGUCAAUACUUCUGUUAACAACUGUUAAUACUUAUGCUAAUGACUGUUAAUACUUCUGUUAACGACUGUUUAUACUUCUAACAUCUGUUAAUACUUCUGUUAAUGACUGUUAAUACUUCUGUUAACUAUAUAGCUACUGUUAAUAUUUCUGUUAACUACUAUUAGUACUUCAGUCACAGCUGUAGAACCAAAUCACCAGACAGUCAGAUAUAAAAAAGAAUCAGUACUUUUUAGAUGGCCAGCACAUGGUUGAUUUAGAUUAAUACACUAUAUAAUUAAUGUAUAUUAGAUUAUGUAUAUGUGUUCACAGAGAAUUUGUCACCAGCAUUUCAUUUUCUUUAAUAUAUGUCUCACAAAACUGGAGGUAAUAGUAGUCCGAGCUGAUCUUUAAAUGAUUUGAAAACCAAAAUAAAGAUAUCAUGUAAGAAAUCAUCCUUAAUUACAAAGCCUCUUUUUUGCCACUGAUUUAAAGCAAAUUAUUCCUCUUAAAUUAGUUAUUUCUCCUGAUCAUUUAAUUUUUAAAAACUAUCUGAGAUAAGAAAGACAAUAGUUGGAAAAAAUAGACCAGUGAAUUUUAUCUGAAGAAAUUAAAAGGCAGAUGAAAAUAAUACAUUUGUUAAGGAGAAAUUUGAGAUUUUUAUAGAGAAAAGAUAAACUUGGAUAUUGACAAACAAUACAAACUGUCAAUCAUUAUCUGAAUAAAUAUUCUGUCUUAUGAAGCAGUCCUUAAUAAAAUCAUGAUAAGGAAUUAUAUUUUCAAAUGUCAAUUAGUUAAAAAGGGGACACUAUUCACACAAAGGAAAAAAGUGUUUGUCUGAUUUUUAUCAUUGAAUUAUAUGUGUGAAAACAUGGAAAUAUUAUUGUAAACUGAUCAAACCUUUUAUAUACAAGUUAUACUUGUUAUUAUGAUCAGGUGUAUAAUUUUAUAUGUAUAUGGCUUUAACACACUAUUUCCUUACUUUG
rnacentral:lncRNA from 1 species